GGAAUAUUGCACAAUGGGCGAAAGCCUGAUGCAGCGACGCCGCGUGAGGGAUGACGGCCUUCGGGUUGUAAACCUCUUUCAGUAGGGAACAAGGCCAGUGUUUAGCUGGUUGAGGGUACUUGCAGAAGAAGCGCCGGCUAACUACGUGCCAGCAGCCGCGGUAAUACGUAGGGCGCAAGCGUUAUCCGGAAUUAUUGGGCGUAAAGAGCUCGUAGGCGGUUUGUCGCGUCUGCCGUGAAAGUCCGGGGCUCAACUCCGGAUCUGCGGUGGGUACGGGCAGACUAGAGUGAUGUAGGGGAGACUGGAAUUCCUGGUGUAGCGGUGAAAUGCGCAGAUAUCAGGAGGAACACCGAUGGCGAAGGCAGGUCUCUGGGCAUUAACUGACGCUGAGGAGCGAAAGCAUGGGGAGCGAACAGGAUUAGAUACCCUUG
rnacentral:rRNA from 1 species